rnacentral:rRNA from 1 species
GGUGGGUUUGUAAGUCAGAUGUGAAAGCCUUCUGUUCAACGGAAGAAUUGCAUCUGAAACUGCAAAUCUUGAGUAUAGGAGGGGAGAAUGGAACUUCUGGUGGAGCGGUGAAAUGCGUAGAUAUCAGAAGGAACGCCGGCGGCGAAAGCGAUUCUCUGGCCUAUUACUGACACUGAGUGUGCGAAAGCUAGGGGAGCAAACGGGAUUAGAUACCCCGGUAGUCCUAGCCGUAAACGAUGGGCACUAAGUAGAGGGGUUU